GGGUUGAGCAGACGUGGACGCUUAUUUAAGCUGUAACAACCAGUGUUUGCUGUGAUAGUAGCUGGACGUGGGGCGAUGUAAGUCAAACGUAGAACAAUGGUAGACAAAGCAAGAACACUAUCUAAGUCACCAGUUUUUGAAGUAAACAGAAGCGGAAUUUAAACAAUUGGGACAAAGUGAAAGAUCCGUGUGUGUAUCGCAUGCGUCCGUCCGGCCUUACAGUGUUGCGGUAGAGGACAGGAGACAGCAUUCCUCGCGUGGGAUGUCAUGUCACUAGCAGUCAGGGCCAUUAAUAGAACGGACAACCAUCAACUCGUCCAACAAAACGACCAACAAGCUUCCAUCCAAUCCCCUCGCACGACGUUAAAGUGGCUGCUGCAGUGAGCGCUGUUCAGGACCCUGGUGGAACAAGACAUGCAGUGCUUCCUCUAUGGCAUGAUACACCUGGAGAGAACUGGCAAUGCUGUCUGAAUUAUUAUGUCUCAUUUAUGCCCAUUAAACAGACAUGUCACAUCAUUUGCUGACUUCCAUUUCAAACUAGAAAUUAGGACAUGAAAUGGGAGUCAUGUUGCUGUUGCUUCGGUUUGUCAUUAUGUUAACCCAAAGCUGAAAAUUGUGAGAUAAUGAAUUUCUUACUCUUAUCCACUUUUUGAAUAUAUUUAUGGACCACAUUUGAAAUGUUUAAUAAGUAAACUGUCCAUCUUAGAUGAUUUUCUCUGUUUUAAAGAGAAUAGUUGCUCCUUCGAAUGUGUAAUUGUUAUUAUAUCAAAAGUUGAAUUGUUUGUCUAAGUAAAUACACGGAAUUGUUCCAAAUAGGAAUAUUUUGUUAACUGAUUCAGUUUAUAACAAGUCCACUUAACAUGUCUUUUUUGUGGUAAAACACUGUCAGUAUAUCAUGAUAAACAUCUUGUUUGUCACAUGACAUUUCUUACCCUGUAUAUGUUUCUAUUGUUUCCAACGGGAGUUAUACAACGAAAUCCCUCUCAUCAUGUUUUACUGCUAAUUUUCAAUAUUGUGUGUCAGUUCCACGCCCAGACUGUUAUUUAACAGUUAUUCUGUUAAAUAUGUAUAUCUUUUAAGUUUAUUCUCAGCCUGCUUAUCUUAAGUUUCAAACGUUUUGUCAAGAUCAAAAUAUUCUGAAAUACUAGUAGAUAUUGAAAAACAAUUACUUAAAUUUUAUGUUUAUUUUAAAUAAGAAAUUUUGUCUAGGAUUACGGAUUCCUGCUUGUGUUUUGUGCAGACUGUGUAAGUAUUUCAACUAAUAUGCAAACAAUAUCAAGUUUAAAGCACUUUGGCAUCCAUUAUCGGUGUUUGUUCAAGGAAUGUAAUUUAUUACUUUGUGUUUCUAAAUUAAUGAAACUUGUUCCUCUUUUGUCAAAGCAGUGAAUUAUACCUGUCGUCACGUCUCGCAUUGCGCGAGAUUAGACGUUGUUUCCUCGUCCUCUCCGAGAUGUGUCCUUAUAAUUACUGCACCUAUAGAGGGCGGUAAAUCAACGUAUUGUGUGAACAUUUGCAGUUUAUAGCGCUACCUUUAUUAUCUAACCAAUCAUGACAUGUUCAAUCCGACGAGCACAGAACACUGGGCGGAGAAUGGACGCACACACAGCAUUCGACGGUUAUCAAGAUACACCGUUAAUUGCUUUUAACGUGUAUGAAUGCAGUCAGCUUGCUGAGAAAUUGCAAUAAAAAUAUUGGUAAUGAUGAAA
rnacentral:lncRNA from 1 species